rnacentral:rRNA from 1 species
UGGGGAAUAUUGGACAAUGGGCGCAAGCCUGAUCCAGCCAUGCCGCGUGUGUGAAGAAGGCCUUUUGGUUGUAAAGCACUUUAAGCGAGGAGGAGGCUACUUGGAUUAAUACUCUAGGAUAGUGGACGUUACUCGCAGAAUAAGCACCGGCUAACUCUGUGCCAGCAGCCGCGGUAAUACAGAGGGUGCGAGCGUUAAUCGGAUUUACUGGGCGUAAAGCGUGCGUAGGCGGCUUUUUAAGUCGGAUGUGAAAUCCCUGAGCUUAACUUAGGAAUUGCAUUCGAUACUGGGAAGCUAGAGGAUGGGAGAGGAUGGUAGAAUUCCAGGUGUAGCGGUGAAAUGCGUAGAGAUCUGGAGGAAUACCGAUGGCGAAGGCAGGCAUCUGGCCUAAUACUGACGCUGAGGUACGAAAGCAUGGGGAGCAAACAGG